AUAAAAAGGGGAGCUGCCAGGCGGCUGAGAGGGAGCGUGCGCUCCGACCCGUAACCUGAUCCGGAUAAUGCCGGCGUAGGGACAUACUUUUUU
rnacentral:ncRNA from 1 species